ensembl:misc_RNA
CUGACAGCACUGGAGACUGGUGUCCUCUAUUUACUCUCAGAGCAGGUACCAGGCUGGGCGGCAGCAGGGCAGGCUUCCCCCACUUGCUGUCCCCUGCCACUGUGCCUCAGACCUGUCCAGCAGGGUCAUCCUAGGGCAAGGGUCUCAAACUCAAUUUACUUCAGGGCCGGUGCCAGUCCUCAAAUCCU